AGAACGAACGCUGGCGGCAGGCUUAACACAUGCAAGUCGAACGCUCCGCAAGGAGAGUGGCAGACGGGUGAGUAACACGUGGGAACGUACCCUUUACUACGGAAUAACGCAUGGAAACGUGUGCUAAUACCGUAUGUGCCCUUCGGGGGAAAGAUUUAUCGGUAAAGGAUCGGCCCGCGUUGGAUUAGCUAGUUGGUGGGGUAAAGGCCUACCAAGGCGACGAUCCAUAGCUGGUCUGAGAGGAUGAUCAGCCACAUUGGGACUGAGACACGGCCCAAACUCCUACGGGAGGCAGCAGUGGGGAAUAUUGGACAAUGGGCGCAAGCCUGAUCCAGCCAUGCCGCGUGAGUGAUGAAGGCCCUAGGGUUGUAAAGCUCUUUCACCGGAGAAGAUAAUGACGGUAUCCGGAGAAGAAGCCCGGCUAACUUCGCGCCAGCAGCCGC
rnacentral:rRNA from 1 species